rnacentral:rRNA from 1 species
AUGCAAGUCGAGCGGUAACAUUUCUAGCUUGCUAGAAGAUGACGAGCGGCGGACGGGUGAGUAACGCGUAGGAAUCUGCCUAGUAGUGGGGGACAACAUGUGGAAACGCAUGCUAAUACCGCAUACGCCCUACGGGGGAAAGGAGGGGAUCUUCGGACCUUUCGCUAUUAGAUGAGCCUGCGUGAGAUUAGCUAGUUGGUGGGGUAAAGGCCUACCAAGGCGACGAUCUCUAGCUGGUCUGAGAGGAUGAUCAGCCACACUGGGACUGAGACACGGCCCAGACUCCUACGGGAGGCAGCAGUGGGGAAUAUUGGACAAUGGGCGCAAGCCUGAUCCAGCCAUGCCGCGUGUGUGAAGAAGGCCUUAGGGUUGUAAAGCACUUUCAGGAGUGAGGAAGGGCGUGCAGUUAAUACCUGUAUGUCUUGACGUUAACUCCAGAAGAAGCACCGGCUAACUCUGUGCCAGCAGCCGCGGUAAUACAGAGGGUGCGAGCGUUAAUCGGAAUUACUGGGCGUAAAGCGCGCGUAGGCGGUUUGUUAAGUCGGAUGUGAAAUCCCA